GAUGAAGAACGUAGUGAAAUGCGAUAAGUAAUGUGAAUUGCAGAAUUCAGUGAAUCAUCGAAUCUUUGAACGCACAUUGCGCCCGGCAGCAAUCUGCCGGGCAUGCCUGUCCGAGCGUCAUUUCUUCCCUCGAGCGCGGCUAGCCCUACGGGGCCUGCCGUCGCCCGGUGUUGGGGCUCUACGGGUGGGGCUCGUCCCCCCCGCAGUCCCCGAAAUGUAGUGGCGGUCCAGCCGCGGCGCCCCCUGCGUAGUAGAUCCUACAUCUCGCAUCGGGUCCCGGCGAAGGCCAGCCGUCGAACCUUUUAUUUUCAUGGUUUGACCUCGGAUCAGGUAGGGUUACCCGCUGAACUUAAGCAUAUCAAUAAGCGGAGGA
rnacentral:misc_RNA from 1 species